CCAAUGGACCAAGCUACCCCAGGGAUAACAGCGCAAUCUCCUUCCAGAGCAGCAAGGAGGUUUACAACCUCAGUGUUGGAUCAGGACAUCCUAAUGGUUUGUUUGUUCCUUUAUUAACAGUCCUACGUGAUCUCAGUUCAGACCGGAUCAAUCCAGGUCAGU
rnacentral:ncRNA from 1 species